AGAACGAACGCUGGCGGCAGGCCUCAAACAUGCAAGUCUAGGGGGCGUAGCAAUACGUCACCGGCGGACGGGUGCGUAACACGUGGGAAUGUACUUAUUGGUUCGGAACAACUCAGGGAAACUUGAGCUAAUACCGAAUGUGCCCGAAAGGGGAAAGAUUUAUCGCCAAUAAAUCAGCCCGCGUCCGAUUAGCUAGUUGGUGGGGUAAAGGCCCACCAAGGCGACGAUCGGUAGCUGUUCUGAGAGGAAGAUCAGCCACACUGGGACUGAGACACGGCCCAGACUCCUACGGGAGGCAGCAGUUGGGAAUCUUGGACAAUGGGGGAACCCUGAUCCAGCCAUGCCGCGUGAGUGAUGAAGGCCUUCGGGUUGUAAAACUCUUUCGACGGGGACGAUAAUGACGGUACCGUAGAGAAGCUCCGGCUAACUUCGUGCCAGCAGCCGC
rnacentral:rRNA from 1 species